rnacentral:lncRNA from 1 species
AAAAAAUUCUGCAAAUGUAUAAUCUAUUAUUAUUGUUAUGCCUAUGUGGUGUGCAAAAUGGUCACCCUUAGAAGAAAAAAAAAACGAAAAAGAAGAAAGUGGAGAAAGAAUGUCAGUAAUGUAAUAGUAUCAUGAUUUGUGGUUGUUUUCUCUAUCCAUUAAGCUAAGUGAAGGGAUAGGGCAAUUUGUAAAGGGUUUUAGUAACGGGGCAAGUGUAGAAGGUUUAUUCUCUACCGAGGUUGAAGUGGUUUAAGUUUAGUUUUUAUCAAAUGUGCAUGCUGAAAUUUACGUCCUAAUUUUUUCAAUCAGGAAUUAAAUUCGUUAAACUAUUUCGUUACUACUCAGCUCAACCACUACAAAUACAUGUUUUGGUUGCUCUAUAAGUUAAGCAAUACUCAUGAUUAUUCUAAGACUUUGAAUAUCUCUAUCAUUAUCUGAUCUUAAACUUCCUUGAGC